UACGGAGGGAGCUAGCGUUGUUCGGAAUUACUGGGCGUAAAGCGCGCGUAGGCGGCUUUGUAAGUUAGAGGUGAAAGCCCGGGGCUCAACCCCGGAAUUGCCUUUAAGACUGCAUCGCUUGAAUCCGGGAGAGGUGAGUGGAAUUCCGAGUGUAGAGGUGAAAUUCGUAGAUAUUCGGAAGAACACCAGUGGCGAAAGGCGGCUCACUGGACCGGUAUUGACGCUGAGGUGCGAAAGCGGUGGGGAGCAAACAGG
rnacentral:rRNA from 1 species